UCCCUAGUGGCUCAGAUGGUAAAGAAUCUGCCUGCAAUGCAGGAGACCUGGGUUCGAUCCCUGGGUCGGGAA
rnacentral:tRNA from 1 species